UGUGAGUUUAACACUUCAUGACUGAGAGCUGUCCUUCAUGACAACAGAACCCACAACAACCAUGACUUUUAUCACCAUCUUCAUCUGGAUAUUUGCCCUCUGUCUCCAAGAAUCCAGAGGCCAGGUCACUGUAACUCAGACCCCUGCAGUGAAAGCUGUUCUCCCAGGACAGACAGUCUCUCUGAACUGUAAAACCAGCAGUGAUGUCUAUAACAAUAACGUUCUAGACUGGUAUCAACAGAAACCUGGAGGAGCUCCUAAACUCCUUAUUUACCAAGCUACAACACUUCAGUCUGGGACUCCAUCUAGAUUCAGUGGUAGUGGAACUCAUAGUGACUUCACUCUGACCAUCAGUGGAGUCCAGGCUGAAGAUGCAGGAGAUUACUACUGUCAGAGUUUCCACUACCCCAACAGUGUCUUGGUGUUCACACAGUGAUACAGAGCCGUACAAAAACCUCCCUCAGUCAGACUGCACAGUGACUGUACUGCUACAGCUGGGACCUACUGCAGGUGCUGAGGGGGAAGAGACAGUGACAUGGAACACUAGAUGAGGUCAACUGUGACAUGUGACAAUAUGGUUAGAAAGCAAUCGUUCAGUUCACAUGACCAUCAUCAUCAUCAUUAACAUCAUCAUCAUGGUUUUAACUUGUUAUAUUUGUCAUGGCCUUUAAGUGUGUAUAACAUUUAUUUGAAGUUUUGAAACACAUUACCUGUCAAUAUGUAAAGCAAGAUCUACAGAUGUAAAACAAAAGGUGUUCUGACCUCAACAUUACUUCAAAGUUACAAUCACUUCUGCCCCCCAAAACAAGUCCCAAAAUGGACCUCAACCAAAUGUCUGAUUUAAAUUGUGAUCUUCUACCGUUAUAUUAACUGUUUUCAUGAGCAGGUUACUGACUGUUAGAUCUGUGAAUGAGACAUGAUGCUGGAUUCAAACAUGAGACACAUGUACACUACAUACACUAUCUAUGUAAAGUAUAAUAUCCAUUUUAUCUGUCAUUAAUUACAUGGUAGCAUAUCUGUUAUGAGUCCCUCCCUGAAUCCACCAUAGAGGUUAAAACCAGUCCACUCCCUCACAUCUGGCCCAGUCCAGGGUAUUACAGGCAGUGAAACUGUUCAACUACUAGACUGGUAUCUGUGGGAGUGAAACUGAGAUUUACAUAGACAGGGCUGGGUGGUUCUGCUUGUCCCAGAAUAGAGCAGCA